CCUUGAAAUACCACCCUUUAAUGUUUGAUGUUCUAACGUGGACCCGUGAUCCGGGUUGCGGACAGUGUCUGGUGGGUAGUUUGACUGGGGCGGUCUCCUCCUAAAGAGUAACGGAGGAGCACGAAGGUUGGCUAAUCCUGGUCGGACAUCAGGAGGUUAGUGCAAUGGCAUAAGCCAGCUUGACUGCGAGCGUGACGGCGCGAGCAGGUGCGAAAGCAGGUCAUAGUGAUCCGGUGGUUCUGAAUGGAAGGGCCAUCGCUCAACGGAUAAAAGGUACUCCGGGGAUAACAGGCUGAUACCGCCCAAGAGUUCAUAUCGACGGCGGUGUUUGGCACCUCGAUGUCGGCUCAUCACAUCCUGGGGCUGAAGUAGGUCCCAAGGGUAUGGCUGUUCGCCAUUUAAAGUGGUACGCGAGCUGGGUUUAGAACGUCGUGAGACAGUUCGGUCCCUAUCUGCCGUGGGCGCUGGAGAACUGAGGGGGGCUGCUCCUAGUACGAGAGGACCGGAGUGGACGCAUCACUGGUGUUCGGGUUGUCAUGCCAAUGGCACUGCCCGGUAGCUAAAUGCGGAAGAGAUAAGUGCUGAAAGCAUCUAAGCACGAAACUUGCCCCGAGAUGAGUUCUCCCUGAGACUUUAGGUCUCCUGAAGGAACGUUGAAGACGACGACGUUGAUAGGCCGGGUGUGUAAGCGCAGCGAUGCGUUGAGCUAACCGGUACUAAUGAACCGUGAGGCUUAACCUU
rnacentral:rRNA from 2 species